UGUCACUGGUAAGGGCGUAUGGUGGAUGCCUUGGUAGACAGGACCGAUGAAGGACGUGACGGGCUGCGAUAUGCCUCGGGGAGCUGCCGAGUGGGCUUUGAUCCGAGGAUUUCCGAAUGGGGAGACCCGGCCACUGUUAUGAGUGGUCACCACAGUUUUUGUGGGGGGUACGCAGGGAAGUGAAACAUCUCAGUACCUGCAGGAAAGGAUACUCCGUGAGUAGUGGCGAGCGAAAGCGGAUCAGGCUAAACCGGGUGCGUGUGAUAGCCGUCAGGUGUUGCGCAUUCGGGGUCGUGGGAUGGACUGUUCAGCCUCUGACGGGGUUGAGGAGAGUGAUAAAAUGUCGUGCUAGGUGAAUGGGAUUGAAUUCCCAGCCGUAGAGGGUGAUGGCCCCGUAGCUUGUCGUGCGAUGUCUCUUUAUGUUUAUUCCCAAGUAGCGCGGGACUCGUGGAAUCCCGCGUGAAUCUGCCCAGACCGUUGGGUAAGCCUAAGUAUUCCUGUCUGACCGAUAGUGUACUAGUACCGUGAGGGAAAGGUGAAAAGCACCCCGGGAGGGGAGUGAAAUAGUUCCUGAAACCGUGCGCUUACAAUCCGUCGGAGCCUUCUUUGUGGGGUGACGGCGUGCCUAUCGAAAAAUGAGUCUGCGAGUCAGUGGUAUGUGGCGAGGCUAACCCGGGUGGGGGAGCCGUAGCGAAAGCGAGUUUUAAAAGGCGUUUGAGUCGCAUGUCCUGGACCCGAAGCGGGAUGAUCUAGCCCUGAGCAGGUUGAAGCGCGGGUAAGACCGUGUGGAGGACCGAACCCACCUAGGUUGAAAACUGGGGGGAUGACUUGGGGUUAGGGGUGAAAGGCCAAUCAAAUUCCGUGAUAGCUGGUUCUCUCCGAAAUGCAUUUAGGUGCAGCGUCGUGUUAUUGCUUACAGGGGGUAGAGCUACUGGAUGCUUGCGGGCCCAUACCGGGUACCAAUAGCAGCCAAACUCCGAAUACCUGUUAGGUUUAUCACGGCAGUGAGUCGGCGGGGGAUAAGCUCCGUCGUCAAAAGGGAAACAGCCCUGAUCGUCGUCUAAGGUCCCGAAGCGCGUGCUAAGUGGGAAAGGAUGUGGAGUCGCAUAGACAGCCAGGAGGUUGGCUCAGAAGCAGCCAUCCUUGAAAGAGUGCGUAACAGCUCACUGGUCUAGUGGUUCCGCGCCGACAAUGUAGCGGGGCUUAAGCACGCCACCGAAGACGCGGCUGCAUGAUUUGUUUCAUGCGGGGUAGGAGAGCGUCCUGUAUGGGGUGAAGCGGCAGUGUGAACUUGUCGUGGACUUUACAGGAGUGAGAAUGCAGACAUGAGUAGCGAGAGACGGGUGUGAAUCCCGUCCGCUGAAUGACUAAGGGUUCCGGGGCCACGUUCGUCGUCCCCGGGUGAGUCGAGUCCUAAGGCGAGGCCGACAGGCGUAGUCGAAUGGAUGAACGGGUUGAUAUUCCCGUACCGGUGUUACACCGUUCGAACUGAAUCUGAGAGUACUAACCUUCAUUUGCUGGUUGAUUGCCUUUCGGGGUUGUUGGCUGGUUUGUGUUGGGACUGUAUCGGUAGUAGGUUAGCGUGGGAGUGACGCGGGUAGGUAGCCGGCUGCGGAGGUGGUUUUCCGUGGCUAAGCGUGUGGGCUGUCUCCUAGGUAAAUCCGGGGGAUGUUAAAGCUGAGGCGUGAUGGGUAGGCUGUAAGGCUGAUUCCGGUGAUCCUGCUUGCCAAGAAAAGCUUCAACGUGAGGUGUGAUUCCGCUCGUACCCUAAACCGACACUGGUGGUCUGGUAGAGUAUACCGAAGCGAUCGGGCGAAUCCUGGCCAAGGAACUCGGCAAAUUACUCCCGUGCCUUCGGCAUAAGGGAGACCCCUGAUGGUGAUAUGGUUUUACACUGUUGAGCUGUUGGGGGUGGCACAAGCUAGGGGGUAGCGACUGUUUACCAAAAACACAGGAGCGUGCGAAGGCGUAAGCCGCUGUAUACGCUCUGACGCCUGCCCGGUGCCGGAAGGUUAAGAGAAUCCGUUAGCUUCGGUGAAGCGGUGAAUUUAAGCCCCGGUAAACGGCGGUGGUAACUAUAACCAUCCUAAGGUAGCGAAAUUCCUUGUCGGGUAAGUUCCGACCUGCACGAAUGGCGUAACGACUUCCCCACUGUCUCGGCCAGGAGCCCGGCGAAAUUGCAGUACGAGUAAAGAUGCUCGUUAAGCGCAGAAGGACGAAAAGACCCCGGGACCUUUACUAUACCUUGGUAUUGUCGYURKSUSYKKAUACACAUCU
rnacentral:rRNA from 1 species